AGAAUUUUAAGCGCGGUACACACUACCUGAUUUGAUCAGGCCGACAGGAUAAUUUGGUCAGAUCAGACGUCAUAUCAGGUCGUGUGUAGACGUGUCGUCUGACUUUAAUCCUGUCGGGUCUUGUCAGACAGUGGCGUACCUGUGUAACAUUUUUGGGGGGGGGGCAUAAAUUAAUUUUCACAAUUUUUUAUGGUUAUAAAAUAAGUAAUGAUAACGUCCUCAUGUUGAUCACUUGAUAUCAAUGAUAAGUGAUAAUCACAUUAUAAAAUAGUGACUAUAUGUGACCAUAACUCCUAAUCCUAAUUUGAUCGAAUAUUGACAUUUUAUAUUACAUUGAUAGUGAUAUCAAACACGAUUAUAAUCAGUGAAAAUAUUAAUUAUUUACAUUAUUUAAGCUGGACAAUGAAUUUGCAUUAUGGCAUCAAAAAACUUCUUGGGGGGGCAAAUGCCCCUGUUGCCCCCCCACAGGUACGCCACUGUUGUCAGGUGGCCAUACCAUCUGAUCGCCCGACCGACCGACCAAAUCAUAUAGUAUGUAGCACUGUCGGGCGGAUUUUAGUUGGUUUAUUGAGGUUAACGUGAUAACACGUGUGUGUACCUAGUACCUACUUCCAGUUUAAUAACGGUGUUAAGACUGACUAAAUCGUGUGGUGGUCGUACUGUGUGUACGCAACAUCUGAUUUGGUCAGGUAUCCUGUCGGCCCGAACAAAUCAGAAAACAUUCUACACUUCAAUAAUUUGAGUAGUGAAAAUUAAAUACCAGGCACCAGAUACCUUUUCAAUUAUUUUGACCUGUUAUGCAAAAAACUAUGCAUCACAACACAAUUAAAUACUUCGCCGAUACACAUUAUGAAUUGAAAAAAUAAGAUUGUACGAGGAUAUUGGCGAACGAGGUCUCGACACAUCUUAGUAACUAGGUUUCCUAAAGCCUUUCUUUUUUUUUUUUAAUUAUUUUUUUUUUUUAAGGUCAGUGUAGAAAAUAACAAUUUUUCUCCGGCCGCGUUUGUGAAUAAAUCGGCGGCGUGACUGCAAGGUUGUGUCGUAAGCGUGUACAAUUUAUUAUAAUUAAGGCGCGGAUUUUUAUGUAAUAAAAAAAUCAAAAUAUGUAAAUAUUUAUGUUCUUAU